rnacentral:rRNA from 1 species
CCUACGGGUGGCAGCAGUGGGGAAUAUUGCACAAUGGGGGAAACCCUGAUGCAGCGACGCCGCGUGAGUGAAGAAGUAAUUCGUUACGUAAAGCUCUAUCAGCAGGGAAGAAAAACUGACCUUACGGUCAGCAGACGGUACCUGAGUCAGAAGCCCCGGCUAACUACGUGCCAGCAGCCGCGGUAAUACGGAGGGGGCAAGCGUUAUCCGGAGUUACUGGGUGUAAAGGGAGCGUAGACGGUGGGCCAAGUCUGGAGUGAAAUGCCGCGGCUUAACUGCGGAACUGCUUUGGAAACUGGUGAACUAGAGUGCGGGAGUGGUAGGCGGAAUGCCUGGUGUAGCGGUGAAAUGCGUAGAUAUUAGGAGGAACACCGGUGGCGAAGGCGGCUUACUGGACCGUAACUGACGUUGAGGCUCGAAAGCGUGGGGAGCAAACAGGAUUAGAUACCCGGGUAGUC